rnacentral:rRNA from 1 species
UACGUAGGGUGCGAGCGUUAAUCGGAAUUACUGGGCGUAAAGGGUGUGCAGGCGGCUGAGUAAGACAGAUGUGAAAUCCCCGGGCUUAACCUGGGAACCGCAUAUGUGACUGCUUGGCUAGAGUGCGUCAGAGGGAGGUGGAAUUCCACGUGUAGCAGUGAAAUGCGUAGAUAUGUGGAAGAACACCAGCGGCGAAGGCGAUUUACUGGACUGUAACUGACACUGAGGCACGAAAGCGUGGGGAGCAAACAGG